rnacentral:lncRNA from 1 species
GAAAAACAAUUUGAGUCCUGGCAAAACCCAAAUAGUCACUUUUUGGAGGAGGGAAAUUUAGGUUUAGCCCCUUAUGAGUUGGAGAAGGCCUAACGAGAGGUUAUUAUAUGUGGGGUUCCUUCAUAGCCAUCAGAUCAAUUAAAGAGUUAUUAUUAGAUGACUAGAUCAAAUCUGUCAACACACUUCCUUGCCAUAGCCCCCUUAAUGGAGAAGCUUCCG